rnacentral:rRNA from 1 species
UACAGAGGGUGCAAGCGUUGUUCGGAAUUAUUGGGCGUAAAGCGCGUGUAGGCGGCUUGUUAAGUCGGGUGUGAAAGCCCUCAGCUCAACUGAGGAAGUGCGCCCGAAACUGGCGAGCUUGAGUGUCGGAGAGGAUGGCGGAAUACCCCAAGUAGAGGUGAAAUUCGUAGAUAUGGGGUGGAACACCGGUGGCGAAGGCGGCCAUCUGGACGACAACUGACGCUGAGACGCGAAAGCGUGGGGAGCAAACGGG